rnacentral:rRNA from 1 species
UACGGAGGGGGCAAGCGUUGUUCGGAUUUAUUGGGCGUAAAGAGCGUGUAGGCGGCCUGACAGGUCUGCUGUGAAAACUCGAGGCUCAACCUCGAGAUGUCGGCGGAAACCGUCUGGCUAGAGUCCGGAAGAGGAGAGUGGAAUUCCUGGUGUAGCGGUGAAAUGCGCAGAUAUCAGGAAGAACACCUAUGGCGAAGGCAGCUCUCUGGGACGGUACUGACGCUGAGACGCGAAGGCCAGGGGAGCAAACGGG